GAGAAGGAGGAGGAGGAGGAGGAGGAGCAGGAGCAGGAACAGGAGCAGGAAAGAGAAGCGAAGAAGAAGAAAGUUACUAGAGUUAAUGAUAUUCCUUACGGAAUCUAUUCUAAAGAAAAGGAAAGACAGGACCGAAAAGACCUUCCCCCCUCAAAGUUCGGUAUCAGAGCCAAGUUGGUAGUCCAUAGUCAUCUAUUUUGAGAGGAAGGUUUCCAACCGUACGCCGGUAGGCCGGUAGGAACAGGGCUUAGCCAGAAUGGCUGGCUAAGAGGCGUCUGGCGGUGCUAGGCGCAGGAAGGUAUGUAAUGUUCAAACCUUAACCUCAAGAUACCUCUGGUGGGGUCCAAUCCCUGAGGGUUAAACCUCUUUUGGGGCUCCUCACACAGUAAUCUUUGGAGCCUAUUCCAUGGGCAUACGAAGGUUAGUUGGAAUAGUUUAUGAUUCUUUGAUUUAAAGCAUGAAUUGGUAGUUUGUUUCUCUUAUGUUGAAUCAUAUAUCCUUCAAACUGAAGUCACAAGGAUGGCUAUUUGGUACCUGUCUUUGGUAUUCACUGUACCUGGAUGAGUUAAGACCGAGAGUGGGAGGCUGUGUGCCCGUUGUUUAGCCCGUUGAUGCCAAGAGGGCGAGUUAGGGCGUUGUGUAGGGCAAUUGUGCUAAGUACCCAUAGUGAUUCUCCUCUGGUAGGGUGCAGUAAUCCGGAUUGAUGGGAGAAAGAGACCAUAAUAUAGUUAUUCAUGUGAUUGAAGGAUGAUUGAUUUAUUUUUCAACAUAGAUUAAGUAAAUGUCAUAUCAUUCAUGUGGUAGUGUUUUUUAGUCUUUGAAUCAUUAACUAUUGUUCUUAUAGACAGAGGGUUGAGGUUUGGAACGUCAUAACUUCACUGCACAAAGCACUGACCAGCAAGCCCAAAAGCAUGGAAAAUAGUUCCAUAAGCCCAAGUUCCAAUAAUGAACAAUUUUUAAAAGAAUUUAAUUUUCUUUUUAAUCAUUUAAAUCAAAUAGAGCGUCAUGUAUAUCUUCAAUCAGGAAGCAUACUAAGAAAUGUCCUAAAUCAGGAAUUUCUAUCAGAAGAUAAUAAGAUCUUCAGAAAAUGGUAUUUUAAGGAGUUUAAUCCAACUGAGUUAGAAUACUAUAAAGCUCAGUACUAUAAGGAUUUAGAGUCCAGUGGAACCAUAGAUUUCUUUGUUCUAUGGUUUAAAAGGUUCUAUGCAGAACAACAGAAAGCAACAUUAAUGCUAAAUUCUCUUUUAAUAGAAGAGAAAGUCUUAGGACAUCCUAGGACUAACCCUGAUGAAAUAUCUAGGGUAGAGAACAUAGAUCUUCCAGACUUAAUAAGUUUCGAGGAAGAAGAAAACCUAGAAAAUGAGUCUAGGACAGAAGAAAUAAGUCUUCCGGAUCUAAUAGAGUUCACUGACAACCCUAUGUCAGAUAGUGAUCUUUUUCAAAUUACUGAAAAAGAAUCAGAUAAUGAAUCUGAAACUGAAUUAGAUCAAGAAAUUUUUGAACCUAAGACUGAGUCAGAACAAGAAAACCUUGUAUCUAGAACUAAGUUAAUAAGUCUUAGUAACUCAGGAAAUACUAAGGCUGAAUAUAAGUCUUAUCCAAAAAAGGUCAAGAAUAAACUUGAACUUAGACAAACAGAAGAAAAUGUUCUUCUAGAAGUAAUCUUGAAUCCUAAGUUGGGUUCAGAAAGUACAGAUAGACAAUACUGUCUAUACAUCCACUAUUGGAAAUCAAUGAUAAAAAAAAACAGCUAAUAAAACUGUUAAAGGAUUCUUCUUCCAAGGAAGAAGAAAGAAGAAGGAAAGAUGUAGAUAAGAGCUCUACAUCAGAUGUAUCAAAUAAAGAUACAUCAGAAGAAGAAAUGAAUAACGUUUCUUCUAAAUCUUUUCAAAUUAAUACUCUGCCUAAUAGUCAAGAAACCCCAGUUUCAACAAAUGAAUUGAAACAUAAAAUUAACCAAUUAAAAACAGAAAUAACUCUGUUAAGGUCACAAAAUGAAGAUCAAUUAGUAGAAAAUAAUCUACUAAGAAAUCCUUGUAUCUUAAAUCAACUAAGAUAUCAAAGGUGGAACACAAUAAUUAACAUUGUGAUAAAAGACAAUUUAGUCUUAAAAAAUAUAACAGCACUAAUAGACAGUGGUGCAGAUCUGAAUUGUAUUCAGGAGGGAAUAAUCCCUACAACAUAUUUUGAGAAAACAGUGCAGAAUUUAGCUGCAGCUGAUGGAAACAAACUAGAUAUCAAAUAUAAGGUAUCUCAAGCAUAUGUCUGUAACAUAGAAGUUUGUAUAAAAAAUUCAUUCAUCUUGGUUAAAAAUUUAACCCAGUCAGUCAUAUUAGGAAUACCUUUCCUAAAUGAAAUAAUGCCAAUAAUCAGGAUAGAUGACCAUGGUAUCUAUUCUAAAAAACAAGAAAAAGAAAUAAUAUUUUCUUUCAUUACAAAACCUCACUUAAAGGUUAUUAAUAAGACUAGGAAUCUCUUAGUCAAUAAAGAAAAACAAUUAGCUUUCCUUAAACAAGAAGCUAAUAUGCUUAGCUUAGAAAGAAAAUUGCAAGAUCCUUAUAUAAUCCAAAAAAUUAAGGAUAUAGAGGUACAGCUUACAGAAUAAAUCUGUAGCGAACUACCCAAUGCAUUUUGGUCUAGAAAGAAACAUAUAGUUUCGUUACCGUAUGAAAAUUUUUUUAAUGAAAAGAACAUACCCACUAAGGCUAGACCAACACAGAUGAAUAGAAAAUAUCUAGAUCUGUGUAAAAAAAAUGAUACACUCCUAAAUAAAGGACUAAUUAGGAAAUCCUAAUCUCCAUCGAGUUGCACAGCUUUCUACGUUAAUAAAAACGCAGAAAAAGAAAGAGGAAUACCAAGAUUGGUAAUCAAUUAUAAAUCCUUAAAUAAGGUGUUAAAAUGGAUAAGAUAUCCAUUACCCAACAAAAAAGACCUCCUUGAUAGGCUAAGUGAGGCAUUAAUCUUUUCUAAACUUGAUUUGAAAUCAGGAUCCUGGCAGAUCCAAAUUGAGGAAUUUGACAGAUACAAAACAGCAUUCACAGUACCAUUUGGGCAAUAUGAAUGGAACGUGAUGCCAUUUGGUUUAAAAAAUGCAUCCUCUGAAUUUCAGAGUAUCAUGAAUGACAUCUUCAAUCCAUUUUCUGAUUUCAUCAUUACUUAUAUUGAUGAUGUUUUGGUGUUUUCUAAAUCAAUAGAACAACACAUCAAAAAUUUAAAGACUUUCCAAAUGAUAACCAUAAAGAAUGGUUUAGCAAUUAUGUAUGACAGGUUAAAAAAGAAACCUGCACCUUGGAGUCAAAAAUAUACUGACAAGGUAUGAAUAAUUAAGUCCAAGAUAAGGAAUUUGCCUUGCCUAUCUUUACCAAAUCCUAAUUGGUAUAAGAUUGUCGAAACCAAUGCAUCAGAUAUUGGUUUUGAAGGAAUCUUAAAGCAAUUGGAUCCAAGCAGUGGUAAAGAAAUUUUGGUAAAAUUUGUCUCUGAAAAGUGGAAUGCCAAUCAGAGCAAAUAUUCAACAAUUAAAAAAGAAAUGUUUGCAAUUGUUAAAAGCAUUUCAAAAUUUCAAAGUGAUCUGUUAAACCAGUCAUUCUUGCUGCGUGUUGACUGCACUGCAGUCAAACAGAUCAUAGAAAAAUAUGUGAAAAAUUUAGUAUCCAAGCAAAUAUUUGCCGGAUGGCAAGCACAAUUAUGUGCUUUCGAUUUUCAAAUUGAAUUUCUCAAAUCCGAAGAUAAUUCUCUUCCUGACUUCUUGGCUCGAGAGUUUUUGCAGGAAUAAUUCCAAGACAAGGAUCUUAUGAUCAAGGUAGGAAAUCUUCUAUCCGAUAUAUCAGGAAACGUAGUGCUAAUGCACUUCCCGAAACUACAGGAAAUACAUGGCCUCAUUAUAUCAGGGGACGCAGUGCUAAUGUACUUUCCGAAAGUACAGGGAAUGUCCUAACUAAUUAUAGCAGGGGACACAGUGCAAAUGCACUUCCCAGGGUUCCACAAAUGGUGGAUUUGGCAACUUAUCUCGGCAAAGGGAAAGAGAAAGUUGACCAAGAACAACAAAUUAAUGUUGUGCAAGGAAUUUCUUUGCAAUCAACUUCAUCGUUGAGCCCAACGAUGAAGUACUACAGGAGAAUCUUCUGGACAGUACUUACUCGGAGAAGAAAUCCGAGGAGAUUAUUAUGUACCUAGAUCAUAGUGAAGUUAAUAAUCUGAAUGAUCCAUGGUUCAUACGUCAAAAAUACUUUGACGAAUGGGGUUAUCCUUCUUUGAAAGAAAAAAUAGAGUAGUUAUGGAGGUGCUCCUGCUCCGUACUAAUUUUGUGGAAAUUAAUCAUAAUUUCCAAAAUGGUUCUAUCAAGAGUGGUAUAAUCAACUUCAGCAAAUGCAUAAUCCACAAGAUGAUCAGACCAAAUGAAUGGGGACUUGACCCAAAUCAGGCCAAACAGAUCACAGUAAACGGACAGAUGGUUCUAGUCAAUUAUUGGGACUACGUCCAAGCCUUCACCAGUGUUUUCUAUUAUGAGAACCCCAAGAGGAGGCAUUCGUAGUUUCUGCAGGUAAAUCCUGAAGUAUUGCACAAAUCCUUAUCAGGAUGGUUUCACAAAUGGUGGACAUAUUUUGGGUCAGAAUUAAAUAUAUUGCCCAAAUAAAUUCUCAAUUAUUUUGAAGAAUGGGUGGAUCAUCAUCCCAUCAUUAACAAGUUGACAGAUAAUUUCAUCUCUUCUGAGCUCUGUCCUAUGAUGUUCGUAAUAGAUGACAAGAUCCCUUGGAUAUGGAAAUGGGUCAUAUCAACAGAGGUAGAAGAGGUAAAUAUUCCUGUUCUUAAAAGAAAAUUUCUUUACAAGUGGUGGCUGGGAAUGCCCAGAGAGAAAUUUGAUGAUAUUAUCACCACUAUAAAAUCAAAUUUGAUUUCAUUUAAAAAUGAUCAUGCUGAAUCACAGCAGACUGAAGAAAGCACUGACAGUUAUUUUGCGAGUCUUAAGAACAAAUUCUCCAGAAAGUAUCCCCAAUGUACUUCCGAAGAAAUUAUAUCCAAAUGUAUGGACCAUAUGAAGCAACAAUUAUGCUCUAUGUUCAAAGCAGAGCCAAAGAAGACAGUCUCCAUGAAGAGCACUGCAUCAAGAAGUACAUCAUGCUCCACACCUGAGGACAAUAAUAAAUACAGGUGUCUUGUAGGAGAAUUUCAAGAUCCUUAUACUGAGGAUACACUAUCUUCUGAGGAAAAAGAACAGUCCAUUCUCAUGCACAAAACUCUUGCAGCUGAAGCCACAGAAGCUAUGUGGCAAAAAGUCUUAAUUACAAGACCUAGAAAGGGAGCAAUUAAGUCCCAACAAAUCAGGUUCAGCCCUGUUAAGCUUCAUCAAAGCAAAGGCAAGGAACCAACUCACCAUUUUGACUAGACAGAAUAAUGGCAGAAGCACGAGCAAAUAGUUUCGUAUCUCCAAUGCUGAAUCACCAGCAAUUAUCUUGAAGGAAUCUCCUUUCGGUGGAAAAUAUCAGCCUUGUGUUUACAUCAGCAUAGCUUUCGGCGGAAAAUCCAUUCCAGCCAGCACAAGGAAUCUGCUUUCGGUGGAAAAGCCUGACCAUUUCAGCUUUGUCAGUGCCAGCACAUCAUGCCAGCACAACAUGAAGGACGAAGAUAUGACUUCUCCAUCCAACAAAAAGAAUCCACUUUCUGACGAAGCCCUGACAAAAGGCUUUAAGUCAUACAUACUUUUAUUCAGGCGGAAGAAAUCACUCCCGACCAAGAAAAGAUGCUCUCUUCACAUGGAAGGAACCACUUUCGGCAAAAGAUGCCACCGACCAAGGGUCACAUUAGUUCCCUCUGACGGAAGGAAUCUCCACCAACCAGAGGAAAAGAUGCUUUCUUCAUAGCGAAGAAAUUACUUUCGGCAGAAGAAAGGACGAAAGAAUCAACAUUCGGCAAAAAAAGGACGCUUUUCGAAAAACACUUUUGUAAAAGCAAAGAUGCUUUGCUUCUUUUCAGCUUUGAGUCUUUUUGGUCCUGUCUUUCCUUUUCUUUUGUCAAGUCAUUUGUUUCUCUAUCGACCAUGAGCGGCAGCCUGACUUUCGGACUCCAAUUCGAAUUGGAUUCCAACUUUGUAACUUGGUCUAUUUAAGGCUAUGCACUCUCAGUUGUGAGGCAGAACCUUUCAGACCGUUGGAGUAAUAGAAUUAUCUUUUCUCCACAUCUCUGAGUUUGCGUUCUUGUUCUCCUCACUCUUCUGCACCCCCUCUCCCCUCUCAAAGGAGGAGAAGAAGAAGAAGGAGAAGGAGAAGGAGAAGGAGAGGAAGAAGGAGAAUAAGAAGGGAAGGAGAAGGAUGAUAGAAAUAUUACCCAACUUUAGUCUCACUUUUGAAUCUAAAAUCUUAUACAGGUGCUUCGGUUUGUUCUGGAGAGCUUCCCUAGCCUUGGCAGUGCGUCGGGUUAUCGAUCCUUCUUUUUCGGCGUGGGUGAAAAUAGAAGCGUAGAUCCCUUCCUUCUUCAACGCUAGACGAGCUUGUGCAGGGAGUUCAGGGGAAACUGAAGAAGAAACAUUGAAGAAGAAGAAGGAGAAGAAGAAGAAGAUAAUGAUGAAGAAGAACAAGAAGGAGAAGGAGAAGAAGAAGCAAAAGAAGAAGAAGAAGAAGGAGGAGGAGGAGGAGCAGGAGCAGGAAGGAGAAGCGAAGAAGAAGAAGAAGAAUCGGCCGUCGACUGGUACAAGUCGGUUCUUCUUCUUCUUCUUCAAAGAUUCUUCUCCAAACAUUCUUUUUUAAAGAUUUUAAGUAUAAUUUGAUAAAGAUUGCCGAAUCGGGCGGCCCGGUUCGGGCAGCGCCAAACCGAUCCUGUUCGCCUGUUACAUUUGAAUCCGACCCCGUACCGGCCGGAAACCAUAUAGAACUGGCCGAAACCAUGACUGAAACCGGCCGGUAAGUGCCCAAACCGGCCAGAAUUGGUCGAUUCGGUAUAGACUUGGUGGGAACCGGCCAGUUCGCACCAAGUCAACCCGGUUCCAAACAUUCUGGCACUGUAGCAUUGUAACUUUUUAAAAGUAUCAAGUCACCUGUUGGGAAAGCCGAAAGGCGCUGACCGGCACGGGUCUCGAUACCGGUUCAAUGGACCUUGAAAAGAAUCAAUAGAAAAAUAAGGAUAGUGGAGAGGGG